rnacentral:rRNA from 1 species
CGCUCUUUGUUAUAUUUUUACAUAUAAGGAGUCGUACCUGCUCAAUGAUUGUUAAAGAUUAAAUAGCCGCGGUACCCUGACCGUGCAAAGGUAGCAUAAUCAUUUGCCCUAUAAUUGAGGGCUGGAAUGAAUGGUUUGACGAAAGCUCUACUGUCUUUUUAUUUUUGAUUAUAAAUUAAUUUUUAGGUGAAGAAGCCUAAAUAAGAAAAAGGGACGAGAAGACCCUAUUGAGUUUGAAUUUAUAAUUAUUAAGCUUGAUGUAUAUUUAAUAGAAUUAUUAUGAUUAUUGAAUUUUAGUUGGGGCAACUUGGGAAUAUAUAAAACUUCCUUAAUAAAUGUUAGAAUUAUUAUUAUAUGAUCCAUUUAAUUAAAUAAUGAUUAGUAGAUAUAAUUACCAUAGGGAUAACAGCGUAAUUUUUUCUGAGAGUUCUAAUCGAAGAAGAAGAUUGCGACCUCGAUGUUGGACUAAGGGAUUCUUAGAGGAGCAAAAAUUUCUAAAGUAAGUCUGUUCGACUUUGAAAACCUU